CACCGCGGUUACACGGGCGACUCAAGUUGAUUAAUACCGGCGUAAAGUGUGGUUAGGAAAACCCAUAACUAAAGCCGAAUGCCUUCCUCACUGUCAUACGUACUCGAAGGUAAGAAGCCCGAUUACGAAAGUAGCUUUACUCUUUCUGAAUCCACGAAAGCUAUGGAA
rnacentral:rRNA from 1 species